AUGCGAUAAGUAAUGUGAAUUGCAGAAUUCAGUGAAUCAUCGAAUCUUUGAACGCACCUUGCACUCCUUGGUAUUCCGAGGAGUAUGCCUGUUUGAGUGUCAUUAAUUUCUCAACUUUAUCAGCUUUAUUGCUGUUAAUUCUUGGACUUGGGGGUUCUGGCGUUUUAUGUCGGCUCCCCUUAAAUCUAUUAGCUGGUUUCUAAUGACUUGUCUAUUGGUGUGAUAAUUAUCUACGCCAUUGACUUGUUGUUUUUACCGCUUCUAAUUGUCUGUUCAUUCAGACUAUAUAAUGACAAUUUGACCUCAAAUCAGGUAGGACUACCCGCUGAACUUAAGCAUAUCAAUAAGCGGAGGAAAAGAAACUAACAAGGAUUCCCCUAGUAACUGCGAGUGAAGCGGGAAAAGCUCAAAUUUAAAAUCUGGUGGUCUUUGGCCAUCCGAGUUGUAAUCUAGAGAAGUGCUAUCCGUGCUGGACCGUGUACAAGUCUCCUGGAAUGGAGCGUCAUAGAGGGUGAGAAUCCCGUCUUUGACACGGACUACCAGUGCUUUGUGAUACGCUCUCAAAGAGUCGAGUUGUUUGGGAAUGCAGCUCAAAAUGGGUGGUAAAUUCCAUCUAAAGCUAAAUAUUGGCGAGAGACCGAUAGCGAACAAGUACCGUGAGGGAAAGAUGAAAAGAACUUUGGAAAGAGAGUUAAACAGUACGUGAAAUUGCUGAAAGGGAAACGCUUGAAGUCAGUCGCAUUGUCUAGGAAUCAACCUUGCUUUUGCUGGCCGUACUUCCUAGUUAAUGGGUCAGCAUCAAUUUUGAUUGUUGGAUAAAGUCUGGGAGAAUGUGGCAUCUUCGGAUGUGUUAUAACUUCUAGUUGCAUACAAUGGUUGGGAUUGAGGAACUCAGMACGCCGCAAGGUCGGGUACUUGUACCACGUUCGUGCUUAGGAUGCUGGCAUAAUGGCUUUAAUCGACCCGUCUUGAAACACGGACCAAGGAGUCUAACAUGCCUGCGAGUAUUUGGGUGGUAAACCCGAGUGCGUAAUGAAAGUGAAAGUUGAGAUCCCUGUCAUGGGGAGCAUCGACGCCCGGACUAGACCUUUUGUGAUGGAUCUGCGGUAGAGCAUGUAUGUUGGGACCCGAAAGAUGGUGAACUAUGCCUGAAUAGGGUGAAGCCAGAGGAAACUCUGGUGGAGGCUCGUAGCGAUUCUGACGUGCAAAUCGAUCGUCAAAUUUGGGUAUAGGGGCGAAAGACUAAUCGAACCAUCUAGUAGCUG
rnacentral:rRNA from 1 species